GCCUGAGUGGCUCAAUGGUUGAGCAUCUGCCUCUGGCUCAGGCCAUGAUCUCAGGGUCCUGGGAUCAAGUCCCGCCUCGGGCU
rnacentral:tRNA from 1 species